GACGUGGUGGUUUAAUGGUUAGCGCGUUCAUGAUCAUGGAUCGAACGGUCCUGGUUCGAGCCCUGGCCUGGGUCA